UACAGAGGUCUCAAGCGUUGUUCGGAUUCAUUGGGCGUAAAGGGUGCGUAGGCGGCGCAUCAAGCCAGUUGUGAAAUCCCCGGGCUUAACCUGGGAACUGCAAUUGGGACUGAUAGGCUAGAGUCGAAGAGAGGGAAGCGGAAUUUCCGGUGUAGCGGUGAAAUGCGUAGAUAUCGGAAGGAACACCUGUGGCGAAGGCGGCUUCCUGGCUUCAGACUGACGCUGAGGUACGAAAGCGUGGGUAGCGAACAGG
rnacentral:rRNA from 1 species